rnacentral:rRNA from 1 species
UACGUAGGGACCGAGCGUUGUCCGGAAUCAUUGGGCGUAAAGAGCGUGUAGGCGGCUCGCUAAGUCUUGCGUGAAAUCUCGGGGCUCAACCCCGAGCGGUCGUGAGAAACUGGCGGGCUAGAGUGCGGGAGAGGAGAGUGGAAUUCCUGGUGUAGCGGUGAAAUGCGCAGAUAUCAGGAAGAACACCCGUGGCUAAGGCGGCUCUCUAGUACGGUACUGACGCUGAGACGCGAAAGCGUGGGGAGCGAACAGG